rnacentral:rRNA from 1 species
UACAGAGGGUGCAAGCGUUAAUCGGAGUUACUGGGCGUAAAGGGCGCGUAGGCGGUCAUUUAAGUUAGAUGUGAAAUCCCCGGGCUUAACCUGGGAACUGCAUUUGAUACUGGAUGACUAGAGUACUGUAGAGGGUAGUGGAAUUUCCGGUGUAGCGGUGAAAUGCGUAGAGAUCGGAAGGAACACCAGUGGCGAAGGCGGCUACCUGGACAGAUACUGACGCUGAGGCGCGAGAGCGUGGGGAGCAAACAGG